AUCGUUCAUCCUCUCGCGUGCUGGGCGGCUCGUUAAUGUAGGUAGAGCGACAUCACGGCCAGAGGACGGAAGUAGGGAGAUAUCCCGAAGGAACGCGCC
rnacentral:ncRNA from 20 species